rnacentral:rRNA from 1 species
AACCGCGGUUACACGAGAGGCCCGAAUUGACACAUCACGGCGUAAAGUGUGAUUAGAGAUAAACUAGACUAGAGCCAAACACCCCUUAUGCUGUCAUACGCCAUGGGGGUCACGAAGAUCAACGACGAAAGUGGUUCUAAUUAACCCAAUCUUGAACUCACGACAGCCAAGAUA